ACACGUUCAGAUCACCUUGUAGAGUCGGUUUUCUGCAGAAACCGAGGAAGGAGCUGAGUUUCCAUCUGGGUCAGGGACAGAAAGGUGAGACCAUUUCCGGAAUGAACUAGUUCAGGGGAGUCAGGAGUUGGAGGCAGAAACAGCCUUAAGCAAGUCAUGUUAGGCAAGAAGGCUCCUGGGGAGUUUGCAGGCUUUUAAACUUCCCUUAGGACAUGGAUUUAGGAGUUUCUAGCUCAUUUCAUCUUAUGGUGCAGAGAGACUGCAGCUGACAUCUAGGAUGCAAAAGGAAGGAGAGGAAGAAAAGAAGGAAAGAAUAAGAAUGAGAAGAAGAAAAGAUAACCAGCAACGUAAGAGUCAGAGAAGGGAGCCGAUGUCAGCAAAAGGGUUAGGGACAGGAGCAGACUUUCUUAUGAAUGAGAAAGGAUGCCUGGAAAUGAAAUCCUUGCUGUGGAAGAUAUGAAUAGUUUCAAUGCUUCUACUUGUCAAGAGAAUUUUGAGGGCACCUGGAAGAGGGGUGUCUACCUCCAGUUUCUUCCCUUAAGACCCUCUUUUUUGCCUCUUUUCCAAGAGAAGGGAUGUGAUGAACCAGAUGCCCAGGCACUCAUUGGGUCAUCGUUACCAGGGGGCAGAAUCACCAGGACAAACAAGUCUGAAGAAGGAUAUACUCUCUGCAUGAUUCAAGAGACACAACUGCUGGCGACAUUUAGAGUCACAAGGAGGACUCACAACCAGAGAAAAGGAAGGGCUUCUCCUCCAACCAGCGCUGGUUUGAAAGUCCCAGCAAAGAGUCAACCAGCCUUUAAUGGUGCCCUUUCCCUUUGCCUCGGAAGGUAG
rnacentral:lncRNA from 1 species